CAGUCGCCGCGGGAAUACGUAGGUGGCAAGCGUUGUCCGGAAUUAUUGGGCGUAAAGGGCUCGCAGGCGGUUUCUUAAGUCUGAUGUGAAAGCCCCCGGCUCAACCGGGGAGGGUCAUUGGAAACUGGGAAACUUGAGUGCAGAAGAGGAGAGUGGAAUUCCACGUGUAGCGGUGAAAUGCGUAGAGAUGUGGAGGAACACCAGUGGCGAAGGCGACUCUCUGGUCUGUAACUGACGCUGAGGAGCGAAAGCGUGGGGAGCGAACAGGAUUAGAUACCCCAGUAGUCCCUGUCUCUUAUCC
rnacentral:rRNA from 1 species